rnacentral:rRNA from 1 species
GACGAACCGAGCGAACGUUGUUCGGAAUCACUGGGCUUAAAGGGCGCGUAGGCGGGCCGGACGGUCCGGGGUGAAAUCCCCCCGCUCAACGGGGGAACGGCCCCGGACACCGCCGGCCUCGAGGGGGGUAGGGGCGAGCGGAACGCUGGGUGGAGCGGUGAAAUGCGUUGAUAUCCAGCGGAACUCCGGUGGCGAAGGCGGCUCGCUGGGCCCUCUCUGACGCUGAGGCGCGAAAGCCAGGGGAGCGAACGGG